UGUGUUUUCGUUGUGUUUUGGUGCAGUUUUUUCUUGUGCUUUGGGUAGCGUAGUGCACCUUCUCCCUUUGCUAGUUUCCUCCUAAGAAAAACUUACGUCUUUUGGAUAUCUCAUGGCAUUCCAACCCAAAGACGAACCUAGGUCCUUGCAUAGAGCCAUUUCCACCGCCAUGUCACCGUAUUCUCACCGUAUUCUUUUUC
rnacentral:lncRNA from 1 species